UUCUUCCCUGACCGCCCAUUCGUUAGCAGCUUCAAGACGUCCAUUGUCGUUCAACAUCAGAAAAGCACGGCGGCGCUACUAUCGCUUUCUUCCGUUUGCCGCCUUUUUGCUUUCUUUUCCCCCAUUUUGCCUCUUGUUCCUCGACCGUUAGCAGCGUCAGGUGUCCAUUAUCGUUCAACAUCAAAAAAGCACGGCGGCGCUACAAUCGCCGUUAUCCGCCAUCUUGCUUCCUUCCCUCCAAUUUGCCACUUGUUCCUAGUUCGUCAGCAGCGUCAGAGGUUCAUUGCCGUUCAACAUCAGAAAAGCUUGUAUGGACUUAAUGAAUAAAGAAAAUUGCGAGAGGUAGAAAAUGACAAUUGGAAAAAAUGUAUUAAGAUUCAAGGGAAUCUAUUACGCAAAAAUAAUUCACGACGAAAAUCGAACAAAAUUAUGACUUCAAUGGAUUUUAUUCGGAAACAUGCAGUAGGAGAAAUUUCGACUAUCAGGAUUCAACAAUCUAUUUAAAGAAAAUAGUUUCAACAUCUUUUGAAAACGCGUUAAAUUCGAUAAAACGCCUUGGAUGAUUGGAAGUUGAAUUUGGAGUUUCUAUUCCAAAAAAAAUAACGAUGAUGACUGACCAAAGGGAAUCUGGACCGCAAAUAGACGAAAAGAAGACUGAUAAACAUUACGCAGAAGAUGGACCCAAUUGAUGUUUACCCAGUGAAGGGAAGCGUAAUGUUUACCUGAAGAAGACGAAAUAAGAAGAAUAAGAAGACUGAUAGGCAUUGUGCUGUAGGUGGACCCAACUGAUGUUUACCCAGUGAAGGGUAGCAUAAUGUUUAUCCGAAGAAGACGAAAAGAAGACCGAUAAGCAUUACACUUUAGGUGGACCCAACUGAUGUUUACCCAGUGAUGGGAAGCGUAAUGUUUAUCAUCCAAAGAAGACAUAAAUCGCGUCGUCGCUUAUCGUAUAAUCGUUCACCAAUUAUCGCGAGAAGAAAAGUAUCUUUUUAAAUCGUAUUCGCGAUUCGCGUCGAAAAUAAUAGGGAAAGUAUUGUUUUUCAAAAACUAAACAUUUUUAUGAACGAAAUUAUUCUGUUUUUUUUACUAAAUCAACAUAAUCUAAAUUUAAUUUUAUGUUUAUAAAUUACUUUAUCCUUAUUUUAUAAUUAAUUACUUGUUUAAAUUAUUUAACUUUACUUCUUUUUUUUAAUUCUAAAAAAUUAGAGAAUAAUUUCGUUCAUUGAAUGUUUAAAAGUUGAAAAUAAGUUUCGGAGUGUUGCAAAUAGACAAAUAGUGAUCAUUCGAUAAAGGAUUCAAGACUGGAUUGGAUAGUACACACUUGAUUCAUCAUUGAUGCAAGACUGGAUUGGAUAGCAUAGUCUUAAUUCAUUGCUGAUUCUCUGAAGUCUGUGGUAGCCUAAAGAGAAAAAGUUGGAGGAUCAAGGGAUGCAAUAGUAAAAAAAAAAUCAUUGGAAAAUUGUGGGGCUUUUGUUCAUCAAUAUUUGUCAGGAAAAGGUUAAAGUCACACCAAUACGUCUACAUGGUGGAGCUGUUUCAACUUGGUCAUCAUCCACGAAUCAUAUUACGGCCCCUCGUCGUUUCAAUUCUGCCGCCUAUUCAACAGAUAUCACCACCAAUCAGGGCCCGGCGUGGCGAUCAGGCAGGUAAGAAAAUUUUUUUUUUCGCUAUUUAAUAGCAUUGUGUAAAAAAAAGUAUUUUUAACUUCUUCCCAAUACUUUCAAUUUCUCGUUUCUGUAAAAAAUAAUUUACAAAUAAGAAAAAAAAACUUUAAAUAAUUAUUUAUUGAUGCUUUUUAUUCAUUAUUUAUCAUAAAAUUUAUUUUUUAUCCCACUUAUUGAUAAAAGUAUUUUUUUUUUUGAAUUUAUUUAUGUAAAUUGUUAAUUAAAAAAAUUUAACAUUUUUUGUUACAUGAACAAUCACACUGCGGUGGCGAUUUUUCACAAAAAAAUUGUGAAUGAUGCAGUUCAACAUGGACACCACCAGUUACAAAAAUGAAACAAAAAAUCAAAAAAUGAUUUGCCGAAGAUAAUGGACGAGGAUGACGACUGCCACCACUACUACUACUACUAAUCAACAACAACAUCAACAUCGGAAUAUUUGAUAAUGACAAUUGUUACUCUUAGCUGACAGUAUAGAAAACAUUCGCAGGCGCUUCUCACGAGGAGCCCUUGUUAUACGAUGUGCUUUUUUGCAUAACUAUAACAUAACUGAGUCAACGUUUUGACUAAGAACUGAUUUAGUGGAAAUUAAUACUACUGUUAUUCCUCGAGAAAACUAUUAUUGUCUAGUCAAAUAUUCCAUCUCUUUUUUUGAUAAAAAACGGAAUUUGGACUUGAUCUAAAUUCCUGUUUAGGAGAACUCCUAGAGUGUGCACGUUGCAUCAAAUUCCAAGUUGGAUCCUCUGCCAAGACGUUUUGACACCACUUUUUAAAUUUUAGUGAAAAACUAAAUAUUCAAUUAAAAAUGAUAAAACUACAGUUUCAAAAUGUUAAGUUAAAAUCAGUAAGAUUGUUUUAAAUCUGUAAUAAAAACCUUAAAAGGAUAAAAUUAAA